rnacentral:rRNA from 1 species
UACGUAGGGGGCAAGCGUUGUCCGGAUUUAUUGGGCGUAAAGCGCGUGUAGGCGGCCACACAGGUCCGCUGUGAAAACUCGAGGCUCAACCUCGAGCUGUCGGUGGAAACCGUGUGGCUAGAGUCCGGAAGAGGAGACUGGAAUUCCCGGUGUAGAGGUGAAAUUCGUAGAUAUCGGGAGGAACACCAGUGGCGAAGGCGGCAUCCUGGACCGACACUGACACUGAGGAGCGAAAGCCAGGGGAGCAAACGGG